rnacentral:rRNA from 1 species
UAAUGAGGGAAGGAAAAGAAACUAACUAGGAUUUUCUUAGUAGCGGCGAGCGAAAAGAAAAUAGUUCAGCACUAAGUUAUUUUGUUUUUAUAACAAAUAUAAGAUGCAGUGUAUGGAAAUAUUUAUAAUCUAGUAUGAUAAAUUAACAGUCCAAGUCCUUCUUAAAUGAGGCCAUUUACCCAUAGAGGGUGCCAGGCCCGUAGUGACGUUAAUGAUUACUAGAAAAUAUUUCUUAAGAGUCGUGUUGCUUGAUAGUGCAGCGCAAAUAUGGUGGUAAACUCCAUCUAAAACUAAAUAUAACCAUGAGACCGAUAGCAAACAAGUACCGUGAGGGAAAGUUGAAAAGAACUCUGAAUAGAGAGUUAAAUAGUACGUGAAACUGCUUAGAGGUUAAGCCCGAUGAACCUGAAUAUCUAAUAUGAAAAAUUCAUCAUUAAUAUAAUAUAAUAUUAUAAAUUAUAUUAAAAUAAUGUGCAAUUUUUUCAUAUAAAGACAUUGUAAUCUGUUAAUAUAAUGAAAAAAAUUUAUCAUAAGUAUCGUUUAUGAUUCAGUUUAUAUUUAAUAUUGAUAGAUGUAUGUAACAAUAUGUUUGUCAUAUUGAAAUAUAAAAUUCAUUUUAAAUGCGAUUACGGAUAAAUUAUUGACAGAUUGAUUAAAAUAAAUAUAACGCCAAACAUAUCUUUAUAUGUUUAUAAUGAAUUAUAUUAUAAUAUUAUAUAUAUGUUCAUUAUAUGCGUUUAUAUGAUUAACAAUGCUAUAGAUUUAGGAUACCUUCGGGACCCGUCUUGAAACACGGACCAAGGAGUCUAACAUGUGUGCAAGUCAUUGGGUAAAACGAAAUUGAAAUGAAAUAUUUUCUUUUUCAUACAAAAUAUUUGUAAACCUAAAGGCGUAAUUAACUUGACUGUAUAAUUAUGGGAUCAAUUAUAUAUUUUCAGUACCAUUCGUGGGAGAAAAUAUAUAUUCCAUCCCGGGGCGUUCUAUAUAGUUAUGUAUAAUAUUUAUAUGAUUUUUUUUUUAAAGAAAGAAUUUUUAUUAUAUUAUACCUCUAACUGGAGCGUACCUUGAGCAUAUAUGUUGUGACCCGAAAGAUGGUGAACUAUACCUGAUCAGGUUGAAGUCAGGGGAAACCCUGAUGGAGGACCGAAGCAGUUCUGACGUGCAAAUCGAUUGUCAGAAUUGGGUAUAGGGGCGAAAGACCAAUCGAACCAUCUAGUAGCUGGUUCCCUCCGAAGUUUCCCUCAGGAUAGCUGGUGCAAUUAAAUAUUAUUUAAAAUAAUCUUAUCUGGUAAAGCGAAUGAUUAGAGGCCUUAGGGCCGAAACGACCUUAACCUAUUCUCAAACUUUAAAUGGGUAAGAACCUAAACUUUCUUGAUUAUGAAGUUUAAGGUUAUGAUAUAUUGUGCCCAGUGGGCCACUUUUGGUAAGCAGAACUGGCGCUGUGGGAUGAACCAAACGUGAUGUUAAGGCGCCCAAAUUAACAACUCAUACUGAUACCAUGAAAGGCGUUGCUUGCUUAAAACAGCAGGACGGUGGACAUGGAAGUCGUAAUCCGCUAAGGAGUGUGUAACAACUCACCUGCCGAAGCAACUAGCCCUUAAAAUGGAUGGCGCUCAAGUUGUAUGCCUAUACAUCACCAUUAAAAUAUAUGAUUUAUUUAUUUUAUUAUAAAUAAAUUUUAAAAUUUUAAUGAGUAGGAGGGUACAAUAGUGAGCGUAGAAGUGUUUGGCGUAAGCCUGCAUGGAGCCGCUAUUGGUACAGAUCUUGGUGGUAGUAGCAAAUAAUCGAAUGAGACCUUGGAUGACUGAAGUGGAGAAGGGUUUCGUGUGAACAGUGGUUGAUCACGAGUUAGUCGGUCCUAAGUUCAAGGCGAAAGCUGAUAAACGAUAAGUUAUUUAUUAAAAACCAUUGUUAUAAAAUAAAUAUACACUUAUUAUUUGAACGAAAGGGAAUACGGUUCCAAUUCCGUAACCUGUUGAGUAUACGUUUGUUAUUAAAAAUGGGCUAUUUAAUGCUCAUCCUGGCAACAGAAACAACCAUAAAGAAGCCGUCGAGAAAUAUCGAAAGAGUUUUCUUUUCUGUUUUAUAGUCGUACUACCAUGGAAGUCUUUAGAAGAGAGAUAUGGUAGAUGGACUAGAAGAGCAUGGCAUUUACUGCUGUGUCGAUAUUUUCUCCUCGGACCUUGAAAAUUUAUGGUAGGGUUACGCAAACUUCUUAACAGGCCGUACCGAUAUCCGCAGCUGGUCUCCAAGGUGAAGAGCCUCUAGUCGAUAGAAUA